GGGGGUCCGGGCAGCCUCCACCCAGCAGCUGCUGUCGUUUGCUGGGGUCGUGCUGCUGUGCAGCCAUGGCAUCUAUGGGAAAACUGAGUUUUUCUCUCGUCGUUUUGCUCAGGGAGGAGAGAGGUGGUGCAGGGGAGCAUUUCAGAGUCUUCUUCAUCACCGUUGCCCAAAAUGCUGACAGUGGCGCCAAGUGAACACAGCACGGCUGGUGGGGCAGGAGGGAGCUGAGCCCCCCAUCUGCUCCUCCAUCCCUGUGGGGUUCCUAAGGGUGUUCCCAGGGGGUUCUGUGCAGGAGGUAAGCAUGGGAGGAGGAAGGGGGGAGAAACAGACCCACAGAGAAGGUCCUUUCCGGGGCCAUUCAGGUGAAAUAAAUGAUUGCAGUGCCACAGACUGAAUUGUACUGCCCUGACCAGGAAGGCAGCAGCCCAAAAAUGUCUUCAAGCCUUACGAGAUGUUGAGUCCUAUACAUUACAUUAUGUCCUAUACGUGACACUGUUUCCUACAGGUGACACUGUGUCCUGUAUGUCCCAUUGUGUCCUACACUCAGCAUUGUGUGCUGUAUGUGACAGUUGUGCCCUGCAUGUCACAUUGCAUCUUACAGGUGCCGUUGUGCCUUGUAGGUCGUACUGUGUCCUGUAUGUCACACUGUGUCCUGUAUGUCACGCUGUGUCCUGUAUGUCACACGUGUCCUACAAGUGCCCGUUCAGCAGGGAAUUCCUUCUGGGGAGUUCUAUGGAGGAGGCUCUGCCAGAGCAGGGCCCAAACUCACAGCUGUGGGCUCAGGAGAGCAGAAAGUGGCUGCAAGGCCACUGCCCAAGGCUGGACAGUGGGUGUUCCCCAUCUCCAGGCAAGAAGGGAGCUGGGAAGGACCCCCAUCCCCCAAAAAUGCAGCACUCAGUGGGAACCACGAGAGCUGUGUCCCAAACUGUGCAGCCCCGGGCACUCACUAGUGGAAGGUGCCUGUGAGCAAGGAAGGUUCCCGUGGGGCCAGGAAGGUGCAGUGCUGUGCUCAGAGCUGGGCCUUCCUCCUCCUGUUUGCAGCAUGGAACCGCUGGGUGAGGAAUGCACUUUCUGUAUAGGUUAUGUUCCCCUCAGUGCAUGUGAAGCAAUGAAUGCUGACGGUGGACCAGGGAUGGGCCUGAAGUCCAUCACAAAUUUUACUCAGCUCAUAGAAUCAUUGAGGUCAGAAAAGACCUUCCAGAUCACCAAGCCCAGCCAUUAACCUGACCUACCAAGUCCCACCACUCAGCCCUCAUGCCCUUUUAAAUACCCCCAGGGAUGGGGACUCCACCACAGCCAUGGGCAUUCCUCUCUUCACCACCCUCUCCAUGAAGGAAUUCUUCUUCAUGCCCAAUCUAAACCUUCCCUGGCACAACCUGGGACCACUGCACAACAUGAGGCCAUUCUGCAACGUCGAAUCAUAGAAUGGUUUGGGUUGGAAGGGGCCUCAGGAUCAUCAGGUUCCAACUCUCCUGCCACAGGCAUGGCCACCAGCCUCCAGAGGACUGUUGUACAGCAUGAGACCAGCACACAACAUGACAACAUGGCACAACAUUUGACCACUGCACUACGUGGGACCAUUGCACAGCAUGAGGUCACUCCACAACCUGAGACCACUGCACUACGUGACACCAUUGCACAGGGUGAGACUAUUGUACCACCUGGGAUCACUGCACUACAUGCGACCGUUGCACAUCCUGAGACCACUGCCCUAAGUGAGAGCACUGCACAGCCUGAGACCACUGCACCACGUGACACCGUUGCACGAAGUGGGACCAUUGUGCAACCUGGGACUGCUGCACAACACGACACCAUUGCACAGCAUGGGACCACUGCACAGCCUGAGAACAUUGCAUGAGGUGUCUGCAGGCUCAAAGAGCAGCGAGAAGCGUUCAGAGGAAAGCGAUCCCGUGCCACCUUCCCCGUGCCCGGGCUGUCCCCGCACGCUGCGGGCUCCGGCUCGGGGAUGCGGGGGGAGCGUCGGGCCGGAGCGGAGCCCCGGGCGGCUCGCUGCUGCCCCCUAGCGGGAGAGGGACGCAAUUACAGCCCCGGGGGCUUUGGGGGGGGGCUCUCCCCAUGAGCUCCCGCGGACGCCCCCUUCCAGGACCUUCCAGGAAAGCCUGCUUCUUUUCUUCAACCUUUCGGCACUUUCUUCCUUUUCCUGAGGCUCUAAGUAAGGUCUCCGGGAGAGGGCACUCGGCCGAGUGGUUUCCUGGAGGCGUUUUGCAGAGGAGGUGCAGCGGAGCCGCCGUGGAUUGAAGGAUGCUGAGCACAGAGCCGUCCCCAGCCCAUAGCACAGCCGCUGGGCUUCAGGCUGUGUGUGCGCCUUCAUGAUUUCACUUUGGGGCUGAGGAACGUGAAGCCUGCACCCGAUUCUCAGGCCUGAGCUGCAGGGACAGCUGUGGGACAGGAGAGGGAAUGCCUGAAAUCACACAACUGUAGGGAUUGGAAGGGACCUCUAAUGAUCAUUGAGUCCAACCCCCCAGAUGUUGAGCAGUGCCAUAGCCAGCCCUGUUCCCUGCAGGCAGCUGUCCUGCUUUCAGCUGGGAUAGAAUUCAUGCUCUUCCUGGCUGCUGCAAUGGAGCUCCUUAGGAUUUAGGAUGGGAAUAAUGCUGAUAACACAGACAUGUUUGGUCUAUCACAGAGCAGUGCUUACACAAGCCAAGGAUGUUUCAGCUUCUCACACUGCCCUGCCAGCACCAUGCUGGGAGGAAAGAGCCCUCACCCCAGCAGGGAGCUCUGUGUGCCGAUGGCUCAGCGCACGCUGGGGUAUCCAGGCCAGCUUUGGGACAGGUAAUUCCAGCUUCACCAGUACAACACUGGUUUUCAGGCAUCAGAAACAACUGUUAGACAAACAUCUCCGUGGGGUGAAUGAGGCAUGAGAGCCUCGUUUGAUUAAAAUGAUGUGUUCCUACACCAGGUUCAGCCCAGCCAGGUGCUAAGUGCUGCAGUACCUGUGCUGGGUGGGCUCAUGCUAACAGCUGGCAACAAGGAAUUCCUGCAAACACCCCAUUUUCUGGAGCUUGAAAACCUAAGUUUAAAAUGUUUAUUCCCAACUCCAAGAAAGGGAAAAGAAAAUAUAUAAGUUAAGGCAAUCUGUCUGCUUUCACUUCAGCCACUAAAUCCAGAUUUAUGGCUUAAUUUAAGGUACCCAGCUUUUUAUCCUUUUAUUAGCUCCCAUUCCCCCACAGCCUCCCUCUCCUCACCCACCUGUUUCCCAUUCCCGCUCUCUGUUAAUAUUGGAUUUCCUUUUUAUGUCCCCAAAGAGAGCCCUCGCAGAGCACAGUGCAGCAGUGAGUGCGCAGAGCAGGAACUGCAGUGCAUGCCUGUUGCUCUGCUAAUCACCCCGUGCUCAAAGCAGCGUUCGGAUGCCCACGCAGGCAAAGGAAGGCAGUGAGCACAGCAGAUCCUGUGCCGUCUCUGUAGGUUUGGCUGGAGGACAUCAGUGCCGCCCAUCUCUGUGCCUUCACCAUCCCGUCCCAUCCUGCUCCCCCCAUCGCUGCUCCCAGUGGUGUUGUGUCAGGCUGAAAUCUCCCCGGUCAGCUCACACUGAAGGAGUUUUUGGGGAGCCCAAAUCCCCUCCCUGUGGUCAUGUUUUUCAUCACAUCUGUCCAGCAGCACAGAGCUGAGCUCUGCAUGCAAGCCCCAUGGGCUGUAAAGGACCACAAUGCUCAUCCAGUUCCAGCCCCCCUGCUGUGUGCAGGGUCACCGACCACCAGACCAGGCACAUUGCAAUGGGGCAGCACUGCACUCUGCUGCAGUGUAAAUGCCCCAUUGCACAGUGGGGCAGUCCUCGGGCACUGGCUUGAGCAAAUGCUGAGGAUGCUGAGCAGCUCUGUGCUGCUGCACUGCUCUCCCAUCUCCCGGUGCUCUGCCUCAGACCUUUCCUUCUGAAUUUUGCUUUAAAGCUCGGCAGCAGCUCUGCCUCCCAGCACAGCCACUCCCUGAGCUCCACACGGAGCUCCUCUUCCACACUGCUUUGUUCUGCACGGCCCCUUGGAUCAGCCAUCAAACACUGUGCUGCCCUGGGUGCUGCGCCCCGCAGGGACCACAGCCUGCCAUCAUGCGAAGUGUGGAAUGGAAGAGAGCUGAGGGAGGCACAGAAGGAAGCAGUGUGCUGCACGAAAUCAGCAUCACUCAGCCCAAACCUCUCACCUGCCUCGUGUCUUCUGGGUGCGACAGAACGAAAACACAAUAAAUAAUAGCAAUG
rnacentral:lncRNA from 1 species